rnacentral:rRNA from 1 species
CCCUUAGAUGUUCUGGGCCGCACGCGCGCUACACUGUUCGACGCAGCGAGUCUUAACCUUGACCGAAAGGUUUGGGUAAUCUUCAGCAAAGUCGAACGUGAUGGGGAACGAUCAUUGCAAUUAUUGAUCGUGAACGAGGAAUUCCUAGUAAGUGCAAGUCAUCAGCUUGCGCUGAUUACGUCCCUGCCCUUUGUACACACCGCCCGUCGCUACUACCGAUUGAAUGGUUUAGUGAGAUCUCUGGAUUGACGCUGGCUAGGGGGCGACCCUUGGCCAGACUGUUGAGAAACUGCUCAAACUUGAUCAUUUAGAGGAAGUAAAAGUCGUAACA